rnacentral:misc_RNA from 1 species
GAUGAAGAACGCAGCGAAAUGCGAUAAGUAAUGUGAAUUGCAGAAUUCAGUGAAUCAUCGAAUCUUUGAACGCACAUUGCGCCCCCUGGUAUUCCGGGGGGCAUGCCUGUCCGAGCGUCUUUACAACCCUCAAGCUCAGCUUGGUGUUGGGCCCCGCCGCCCCGGCGGGCCCUAAAGUCAGUGGCGGUGCCGUCCGGCUCCGAGCGUAGUAAUUCUUCUCGCUCUGGAGGUCCGGUCGUGUGCUCGCCAGCAACCCCCAAUUUUUUUCAGGUUGACCUCGGAUCAGGUAGGGAUACCCGCUGAACUUAAGCAUAUCAAUAAGCGGAGGA